GAUCCUGGCUCAGAACGAACGCUGGCGGCAGGCUUAACACAUGCAAGUCGAACGCCCCGCAAGGGGAGUGGCAGACGGGUGAGUAACGCGUGGGAAUCUACCUAGUUCUACGGAACAACAGUUGGAAACGACUGCUAAUACCGUAUACGCCCUACGGGGAAAGAUUAUCGGAAUUAGAUGAGCCCGCGUAAGAUUAGCUAGUUGGUGGGGUAAUGGCCUACCAAGGCGACGAUCUUUAGCUGGUCUGAGAGG
rnacentral:rRNA from 1 species